rnacentral:rRNA from 1 species
GACGAACGCUGGCGGCGUGCCUAAUACAUGCAAGUCGAGCGAAUCAAUAGGAGCUUGCUCCUGUUGGUUAGCGGCGGACGGGUGAGUAACACGCGGGCAACCUGCCUGUAAGACUGGGAUAACACCGGGAAACCGGUGCUAAUACCGGAUAAUCCUUUUCCCCUCAUGAGGAAAAGCUGAAAGUCGGUUUCGGCUGACACUUACAGAUGGGCCCGCGGCGCAUUAGCUAGUUGGUGAGGUAACGGCUCACCAAGGCGACGAUGCGUAGCCGACCUAAGAGGGUGAUCGGCCACACUGGGACUGAGACACGGCCCAGACUCCUACGGGAGGCAGCAGUAGGGAAUCUUCCACAAUGGACGAAAGUCUGAUGGAGCAACGCCGCGUGAGCGAUGAAGGCCUUCGGGUCGUAAAGCUCUGUUGUUAGGGAAGAACAAGUACCGGAGUAACUGCCGGUACCUUGACGGUACCUAACCAGAAAGCCACGGCUAACUACGUGCCAGCAGCCGCCGUAACAC